UACCAGCACCCCGAGUGGUCGGGACGUUUAUUGGGCCUAAAGCAUCCGUAGCCGGUUCUACAAGUCUUCCGUUAAAUCCACCUGCUUAACAGAUGGGCUGCGGAAGAUACUAUAGAGCUAGGAGGCGGGAGAGGCAAGCGGUACUCGAUGGGUAGGGGUAAAAUCCUGUAAUCCUUCGGGGAGGACCAGUGGCGAAGGCGUCACGCUAGAACGGCUCCGACAGUGAGGGACGAAGCCCUGGGGCGCAAACCGG
rnacentral:rRNA from 1 species